GUGAGUAGUUCAGAGUUUGAUCCUGGCUCAGGACGAACGCUGGCGGCAUGCCUAACACAUGCAAGUCGAACGGAACUUGUUGAAUGAAGUUUUCGGAUGGAUUUUGACAAGUUUAGUGGCGGACGGGUGAGUAACGCGUGAGCAACCUGCCUUUCAGAGGGGGACAACAGUUGGAAACGACUGCUAAUACCGCAUGAUGUGUCGGGAUCGCAUGAUCCUGACACCAAAGAUUUUAUCGCUGAAAGAUGGGCUCGCGUACGAUUAGAUAGUUGGUGAGGUAACGGCUCACCAAGUCGACGAUCGUUAGCCGGUCUGAGAGGAUGAACGGCCACAUUGGGACUGAGAUACGGCCCAG
rnacentral:rRNA from 1 species